rnacentral:rRNA from 1 species
AGAAUCAACGCUGGCGGCGUGCCUAACACAUGCAAGUCGCACGAGAAAGGGUAGCAAUACCUGAGUACAGUGGCGCACGGGUGAGUAACACGUGAAUAAUCUACCUCCGAGUGGGGAAUAACUGAGAGAAAUCUUAGCUAAUACCGCAUAAUACCCACGGGUCAAAGCAGCAAUGCGCUUGGAGAGGAGUUCGCGGCAGAUUAGUUAGUUGGCGGGGUAAUGGCCCACCAAGACGAUGAUCUGUA